UAGGGAAUCUUCGGCAAUGGACGAAAGUCUGACCGAGCAACGCCGCGUGAGUGAAGAAGGUUUUCGGAUCGUAAAAUCUCUGUUGUUAGAGAAGAACAAGGAUGAGAGUAAAAUUGUUCAUCCCUUGACGGUAUCUAACCAGAAAGCCACGGCUAACUACGUGCCAGCAGCCGCGGUAAUACGUAGGUGGCAAAGCGUUGUCCGGAUUUAUUGGGCGUAAAGCGAGCGCAGGCGGUUUCUUAAGUCUGAUGUGAAAGCCCCCGGCUCAACCGGGGAGGGUCAUUGGAAACUGGGAGACUUGAGUGCAGAAGAGGAGAGUGGAAUUCCAUGUGUAGCGGUGAAAUGCAGUAGAUAUAUGGAGGAACACCAGUGGCGAAGGCGGCUCUCUGGUCUGUAACUGACGCAUGGAGGCUCGAAAAGCGUGGGGAGCGAACAGGAUUAGAUACCCUGGUAGUCCACGCCGUAAAGCGAUGAGUGCUAA
rnacentral:rRNA from 1 species